UACAGAGGGUGCGAGCGUUGUCCGGAAUUACUGGGCGUAAAGGGCGCGUAGGCGGCCCGAUAAGUCGGGGGGGAAAGUCAGCGGCUCAACCGCUGGACUGCCUUCGAGACUGUUAGGCUUGAGCAUGGUAGAGGCUGGCGGAAUUCCCGGUGUAGCGGUGGCAUGCGUAGAGAUCGGGAAGAACAUCGGUGGCGAAGGCGGCCAGCUGGGCCAUUGCUGACGCUGAGGCGCGACAGCGUGGGGAGCAAACAGG
rnacentral:rRNA from 1 species